rnacentral:RNase_P_RNA from 1 species
CAAGCUGGACAGCCGCGCGGCCGGGGCGAAAGGCCCGGCUGUGAGGAAAGUCCGGGCUCCGCAGGGCAAGGAUAACGGGUAACACCCGCCGGGGGCGACCCUAGGAAAAGUGCAACAGAGAUAUACCGCUGACGGCUCAGCCGUCAGUAAGGGUGGAAAGGCGAGGUAAGAGCUCACCCGAUGGCUGGGAACAGUCCAUCGCUGUAAACUCUAUCCGGAGCAACGCCGUGGAGGGACAACAGGCCGGCCCGGCCGUCCCAGGGAGGCGGCUUGAGCGUACCGGCAACGGUGCGUCGAGAUAGAUGGCUGUCUUAAAGGACAGAACCCGGCUUACAGGCUUACUU